AUUGAACGCUGGCGGCAGGCCUAACACAUGCAAGUCGACCGCGUGGCGGACGGGUGAGUAAUGUCUGGGAAACUGCCUGAUGGAGGGGGAUAACUACUUGAAACGGUAGCUAAUACCGCAUACCAUCGGAUGUGCCCAGAUGGGAUUAGCUAGUAGGUGGGGUAAAGGCUCACCUAGGCGACGAUCCCUGGCUGGUAUGAGAGGAGGACCAGCCACACUGGAACUGAGACACGGUCCAGACUCAGACGCGAGGCAGCACUGGGGAAUAUUGCACAAUUGGCGCAAGCCUGAUGCAGACAUGCCGCGUGGAUGAAGAAGGCCUUCGGGUUGUAAAGUACUUUCAGCUGGGAGGCGUUACCCGCAGAAGAAGCACCGGCUAACUCCGUGCCAGCAGCCGCGGUAAUAC
rnacentral:rRNA from 1 species